GGAGAGGCGAUCCCCCCUGAGCUGCGAGUGGGAAGCUGCGGGGAAUCAGCAGAGGAGCUGGAGCAUUAGGCCAUGUUUGUACUGGGGAUUAAGUCAUUUGUGGUCAGUCCCCGUGCAGCUGGAAGCACAGCCUGUAACGCAGCCCCUGUGGCAGUCGGGACACGCGGAGGUGCCCGUGAGCCUGUUGGCAGUCCUGUAUAGAAGAAGGUGCAUGCUCAGGAGUUGCUAUCUGACUGAGUUGCUGAAGACAGCGAGUCACUGACAGAGGAGUAGGAAUUAUCAAAAGAGAAGUGUCUGCCACCCUGUUUCUUUUGUGCUAACCACCAACAGCUGGAGACCAGGCCAAAGAGAGGCAAGAGAAGCACGUCUCAAGGAAGCAUGUGCUUAAGCACGAAGAUGAACAAAGCUUCCAGGGCUAUUCAAAUCAGCUCUGGCUAUACCAAGUCCAUGCCUAUCCAUUAUACUUUCCAUAUAUUUUAAUAAAUUCAAAGAGAGCUGCUGAGAUUAAAGGGAAGAGCUUUGUGGUGGACAACUCGAAAUGAACAGGCUCUUCCUGCUGUGCAAGGCAGCGACUUGCUGAAGAUGGAGCCUGCACAUCAAAGGAGAGGAUCAUAAGGAUUCUGCCAGGUUUUAAUGCAACAUACCGGCUAUUUUGACUUGGUCGUCUUCUAAUCAAACUGGAGAUGUUUAGCUAGAAACUCCUUUCCCUGUUAUUUCAAACAUAGCCCAAGCACAGCUCCAGUGUCUGCUGAGGAUAGGUUGGGCAUGGAUGGGAGAGAGCUGACCCUACCUCGAUUUGUUGUGUUCCUUCCUUAUCUGCCCAUUCUAAUGGAAGUCUGCCACACAUCAUGGAUGCAAAGUGUGGAGCAUCAGAUGUUCACAGCUUCCCAUUGUGAAGUGAAGGUGUUGGGACCACUUUGUCUUCAGGACUGGACCAACGCUUUAACUACAAGAAAGUGUCAGAUAUGCGGGAUGAUGAUGCAUGGAAAGAAGAAAAACAUUCCUGAGUCAUCCUGUUUCCUGAGCAUAAGGAGGCACAAGAUAGUAAGUGUUGGAUUUUCAUCCUACCUUUACAUUCUGUGAUGGGGCACCAUUGCAAGCUCUCCUUACAAAGCUUUGAGCAGAGAGAUUAUCAGAACCAUGAGGUUUGUGGUGUAUUCACAACGGAACAGGCAGCUUAAAAAAGGAUGUACUAUUUGAUCAGCAGUUUCCUGCAUAUGGAAAUCUUAGGUCACCUUGCUGUUCCUUGAUGUCUAAAAUCUGCUAUCAGGCUUCUGCAAGGAAAUAUAGAUUAGUAUUCAGUGCCUUGUAGUAUUCUUUUAUUAAUAUUACUAUUUUUCAAUUUUAAGGACAAAAACAGCAGAACAGUGCUGUGAUGACAAGAAGCUGAGUGCUGAGCCCACGCAGGGCACUGGGGAGGGUCACUGGGAGUGAGUCAGGUUGAUGUCUGCUGAGAUGGUUUUGUUUGCAGUGUUUUCACACGUGUAUUCAAUAAGGCUUUUGUUUUACUGAAAGGAAGAGACACUAUACAGCAUUAUCCCGAUUUUGAAGUGACAGUGCCAAGGGGACUUCAGUAAAGGAUUUGAUGGCAAUUGAAUCUGAAAAGUAAAGCUUUGUAAUUGCUUAGUUAGUUUUGAAGUAAUGCUUAUAUUUAAGAUUUAUGUACAAAAACAGGCUAUAUCAACAGUAGUGAAGUGGUUUUGGGCCAAGUCUUUUUUAAAGCAACUUAUGAACAGAAGGUCAUUUCAGAUUUCUUUCUUCUCCUGAAAAGACACAAACACAAAUCCCACCUCGCUGUGUUCGUAUAAUAUGUAAUACAUCAUUAUGCUGCAUUUAGUAAGUGCUUGUACUUCCACAAGAAUAUCUGAGCUUUACUCUUGAUUAUAGUAAACUUCCCAAUGCAAGUAAAAGCAAUUAUUAUCCUCAGAGUUUCAGUGACCUGUUAGGAAGACAUAAGCUGUUACAAGACUUCUGAAGGCUCAUCUUACAGUCUGUAAAUCCCACCUUAAAAAUACAUAAUUUGGAGACUAUUGAGUCCUCUGAUGAUACUAUGGUAUUGAAUCAUCUUUAUAUAAUUGUGCUGGUGAAUAUAAAGUAUCAUUGUUUUCAGCAUCUUUCAUGAAAGCUGUUUUGACCUUCAGAUUAAAGGAUCCAUAUGGAUUUCCAAAUGAAAAAGUUGGAGCUCCUGUUUAAAACUUGAACUCCAGCUCGGCAUGAAGGCAUCAGAUGUGCUUCCACUUGAAAAAGCGUUGUUGUACCAGCAUAUAUCCCGCCUGAAUUUUUCUCCUGGGUAAAAUCUUAUAAAUGUGUGUAUCGUGCAUAAUGAGGAUUGGAGGUUAGCCGCUUCCAGUGAAUUCCCUUUCAAAGUGUAAGGAAGAUGCAGAGCAGCAAGGAGGAGAAAUCCAUUGGUAUUUGAGCUCUGUAGGAUGAAGAGGUUUGCUGCUGGGGGAAGAUCAAGAGGAGGCAGUAGGAAUAUUUUGGGCACUUCUGAAGGAGAGAUGGAGACCAUCUGGUAGAGAGGAUGCUUAAAGGAAAAGUGCCAGGACAGAGAUAAAAGUAAAGGGAAAGGAAAUAGUGACUGAGUAACAUCAAAGAGUGAGGCUGACUAUAGAGCAAAAAGGAAGACAUAGCAGUGACCCAACAUAGGCAAAUCAUAAUACAAAUGGUGGCACUGGGCGACGAAUCCAUAUGAAUCGGUGAAGGCUCGGGGGAAAAGCUCAGCAUUUUAAUUUCAGGAAAGUCUACAGGAAAGUGGUGUUGACAUCUUUGGAAGGCUUAUAAUUUAAAACUGAUGCAGUAAGCAGGGUUCCCGCUGCUUCAGAAAUACUGUCCUGGAGUCUAAUCCAGAUACUGUAACUACAGCAGAAUUUUAAAUGGAGAGAUGCCAAGAAGAAUGUUUCUUCCCUCAUCGGCAUCAGCAUCUUUUCAUUUGAAUGACUUUUAGGGCAUUAGAUGUUUCCGUUGAACUGCUUUCUAAGGCUCGUGUCCUGAAGCAUUGGUUGGUGUGUGGUCCUUCCCUGUGUUGAGCUGGAGCCGAUCUCAUGUAAAGAAAGGAAGAUGCUGGUUUUGCUUUUCUCCUGCUGAAGGAGAAUAACUUUGGGCCAGUCCCUUUCUCCUGCCAAAGUCUGAAAAACUUUUCUGUCAUUGGAAUUCCACUGAGAGUGGAGCAGUGGUAAGCCCCGUGGCUUCUAUGGGUAGAGCAGUACAGGCUAAGAGAGUCUGAUCAUCUCUUGUGCUUUGUUUUACGCCCAACCCUAAACAUGGUGAGUCAGGACAGGCGAUGGGCCUAAUUAUAAAGACUGUCUGUGCUCCUGCCUCUCUUACUCCUUCCCAUCUGUAUUUAGGAGGACUUUCUGCAUCCUAGGGGAACCGUGCUUUAGGAGGAUUUGAGAUCAAGGCCUGAAAUAAUCUCAUGGUUUUCUUCCUGCCUGCCUUUCUUUCCUUCUUAACAAAACAGGUGUGUUACUUUUUUUACUGAAGUCGGUCCAAGGAAAGGAAAAGAAGAAAGUACUUCCAGAGGGUAAUUAGUCCCAUCUUAAAACAAGUGUGUAAGACAGGUAGGAUAAGUCUCUCUCUGAAAGUGCCAAUCUGUCACCACUAUCUAUAGAAGGAGCCUUCACGAGUAGCUUAGAGUAGGUGUUUGACUUUUACACAGUUAAAUUUAGAGGAGAUGAUUGCCACUUUUUAAGUCAGUCAAAGUGCUUGUUUAUAAUUGAUUAACCAUUAUAGACUGAAGAGUUGUGAGAGAGAACAAAAGUAAAAAUAUAAUGCCAUUGAUAGAGAUAUCGUGUAAUACGGAAUAGCAGUAACAGCAAUUGCAGAUGGUUAACAUUUUCAUUCCCCAUUGUUUUUAUUUUACUGUUAAAUCUUCCCAGAUUUUAGGUCUUGUUUGAUCCUGUAGAAGGAAAAAAUUUCCCCUGCUUUAGUGUAAGCAAAAAACUGCUGAAAUAUUUGUAGGAUUAAGAAGUGAUUUGUCCUGGAAAUGUCAAUUCUUAUAUGUAGGGUCAUUAAUCCAUAAAAUGAAUUUGCAAACAUUUCUAAGUUCCCUUUCGUGUUGUUGGUGUUUUACUUGACAUGCUUCUGACUGCUCUCUCAAUGAAGGCUGCACUCAGAAGAUCCUGCAAGGCGUACACUGACAGUGUGUGGGACUUGGUUUUGCAUGUGUCUUGACCUGGCAUAUACAGUCUGUUACAAUGAAAUAAACUCACUUGUCAUUUAAGAGUAUUAAUCAUAUUUCAGGCUGUUGCCCAAGAAUUUCAUUGUGUACAAUGCUUUCACCAGCCAGAACCAUACUGCAGAAAGUAAAUAGAUAAAAUCACUUUCUCUAGUAAAAAUAAUUCUUGACUACAGCCUCGCUUGCAGAGUAGAUAAUGCUUGUAGAAAUGGCAGAUGCUCUGAAGGUUUGGAGUAUUGUGACAAUAAGAAUUUUAAACAAAGUUGGAAAAAGCAGAUGGUAUAUAUGGACGGGAAAUCCUGUGGUAGUUUUGAUUUUAUGCAAGGAAAAGAAGGAGUUCCUUAGGUCCAUAAAUCUGUUUGUUUGCAGUACUCAAACAGAGAUUUUCAUGAUCUUAGCUUUCCUUUCUUCAAAACGUUGCUUUCAAGUACAGAUGGGCCUAUAUACCACAAGUUUGGGAUCCAGAUUGGGGCUUGGACCUGACAUUCAUCAGAGCAUAAGCAUAUUUGAACCUAGCAUUUGAGGUCAGCCUCUUGUGGAGUUAACCACCUACUGAUUGAGUAGAUCUCUCCUAUAUGUCAAGGCAUAGGUGUAGAAAGUACAAUGAUUUUAUUUAACUUGAUCUGUAAGGUAUUUAAAUUUAAUUUGGAAGACUUCUCAUGAAGCAGGAGGCUGUAUUUAUAAUUAUUAUUGUGUCUGAAGGGUGAAAUUACAUAUGACAAUUAAAUAUGGUGGAUAUUAUAAUAAGAUACAUGCUUAAAGUGGUUUCCAAUCUAAAUGUGUUUGAAGUCAAUAGGAGUACCUACGGCAAAGUAUUCGGAUCCUGAUUUAUAAUCUACCACUUUUACCCCAGUAUGGUUAUUUAUGGAUAAAUUGACCUGUUCCUAGAAUAGAAUAUGAUAUGUUAGUAAAACUGUACGCCUAGGUGUGGAAAGACAAUUAGCCUAUAAACACACUGACUUCCUCUUUAGGUUGAGAACACCUCAUAUUUCCAAGACUAAUGGUUUCUAAUCUGUUUUUAAAUGUUCCAUUUGGAUAGUGAAGGCGUAACUAUCAAAACACUGUAAAAUCAUAAUGCCUGUGCAGCUAUAAAUUACUGUUUUCAAAAUGAGCUGGAGGUCUCCAACUUAUUCCCAAGUGCAGAAAAGUUAGAUAACAUAAAACUGCUCAGAAAUGACUAGAAGCAACUUUUCUGGCUUUUUCCAAAUGCUAGGAAAUCGUGGAUCUGCCCACUAACUCCCUAGCAAUGCCCAUAUGGAUAGCAAUAAAGCUAGUCCCAUAAAGAAUACUUGAAUUGAUCAAAAGCAUUUCAGAUUAGAGAUCAACAGAAAGAGCUGCGUUGCUUUUUGUUUGUUUGUUUAUUUAUUUAUAUUCUGGAAAUUUCUCUGAUACAAAAAAUAUCUGACUUAUUUUUCAUUCAUCAAAUUGUGGACUGCUUCAUAUGAGAUACGAACUGCAUGACCUGCUGAUGGCGAAGUGCUGCUUCCAUGGAAGAUGCAGCUUUAAACAAUAAGAGAAAGCAUCAACCCUCUCCUGCCAUAUUUUGAACUUUGGAGUGUGCACAAGGAUGGAAAAAUACAGAAGGAUGGAAAAACACAAGGAGUGGUGGGACACAAUGCAAAGUGAGUCUGAGCUGCCUUUAACUUCAGCCUUUGCACUGUGCCAAUACACCAGGAAGAUGCAGUUUAUUCUACCAGGAAUGCUGAUAUUGCAAACACCUAUUUAAACACAGAAGUGUUGGAGGUUUGAACAUCUUUUAUGAAUACUACACCACUGUUUUAAGAAAAGACAAAUACAAGGAGGGAGAAAACAGAACCUCUGGGAUUUUUCUUUUUCCCUACAAAGUGCUAUGGGUGAAGGCUGUGGAGAAAAAUCUUCCCUGCCAGAAGCUGUGUACAGCAUGGGUUUCCCCAGUUCAGAUUUGAACCUCCCACCAGUCGUGUGACCUUCGGGCUGUGGGUAUUGUUGAAGGUAUACCGCUAUAAUCUCAGAUUUUUUUAUGUACCUGCACCUUCGCUUCUGCCAGAAUUACUUGCUGCAUUCAUCUAGCUGCAGAGAGACUCUGCUGAAGGAAAGAUUGCACGCAAGGACCUCAAUUCAAUGCCAGGGUAUUAUCUGGCUCAGCUUGGCACAGUUCAAGUGCACAACUGCAACCUUUUCCAUGACCCAAAAGUCAAUGCCACUCCGUGGGCUGGCAGUUUGCAAAUAAAACGUAUCCUUAAUGAAGUGUGGAAGCUCCUGUUCUUUUCCUUCCUCAGGAGACGUGCCUUAAUCUCUGGCUCACAGCCUUGUCAAAUGCUGCAGUAAAGAACUGGCAAGCUCAGUGCUGCUAAUGGAUUGAAAUCUCCACCAGGUUGUUCUUUUUUAAUCUUUUUUCCUCUUUUCUUUUUUUCUUUUUUUUUUUUUUUUCCUUCCUAAAUACAGCAGCAACCACAGUAACGCUCCAGUCCUCAGUCUUUUGUAAUUAUUGGUUAGGGACUCUGGACUGAAGAACAUGUAAGGGAAACGUAUACUACACCACUGAAAAGUGUCAAGGAUUUGGUUGCUUAUGUAGGUCAAUCAUUAAGGGAAAGAAAUAAGAUUAAAACCAGAGGCUGUUCUGCGUAUUUGAAGUUCCUCCUGAAGAUAUAAAACUGUGGUGUUUAUGCUUAUAACUUGUGACAGGUUGGCUAAGUCAUAGGCGUUUUGUCUCUCCUAUUGUAGGAGCUGAGAAUGUUUGGCUUUAUUUAUUUAUUUACUGUCUUUUUGCCAGAAGGUAACUGUAAGCUUGUGAAUCACAUCCGAAUUGCUUGAAAAUGAGGAAGUACAAUGCUGGGAAUUUUGACAGACUCUCAUGUUUGGUCUUUUUGUUAUUGUUGUUAGAUUAAUAUAGGGCUUGGGGUAGCUCUCCCUAAUUCUGGCAUAAACUGAAAAGCUACGCUUGUUUCAGAACUUAUGCUUUUUUUUUUCUUAUUACAGAGAUAUGCUGUGCAACCUCAGCUUGCCUUUUCUAUGAGCAGCUGAAAGACAUUGCUAAGCAGAAUUUACCCAUUUGCAAUGGCAUUUUGAGCCCAAGCGGGCCUUGGGCAGGGUGCAAAGAGGGAUGCACCAUUACAGUGUGGUUCACAGUAACUUGUAUUGCAACCUGAUGUUUUUCAGAAUUUGUGAAUCUUUACAGUAAUUUGUAUUGCAACCCAAAAUCUGUGAAUUUUAAGCUCAGGGGAAAAAAAGAAAAAAGAGAGGUGGGAAAGCAAUUAUACACUCGUUCAUGCUAGGGGCAGGAAUUUGUAGUGUUACUUUGAUCGCUGUUAACCUGGUUCUGUCAAUACUGAUAACUCCAUGAUGUCCUGGGAAGAGGAAAAUCCAAUCCAUGCACUGAUGGGUACUGAAAGAAAUUCAGCACUGAAAUGUUAUCAAAUGGUGAAUGUUGCAGGUAGCAUUGUUUAUUCCAUGUCAUUGUGCUGUGGAGUUGCUGGUAGGAUGAUGCUCAUUUGAGAGACAGAGGCUUCUUGAGAGAAGAUUUGUUGCCUUCAUGGCAGGAUGGAUGGUGGGAAAUGAAAAAAGGACGUUUUGUUCUGCUACCUUUGCUUAGAUCUAUGCUCUAGCACACUGCCAGUGGGGAACUUGGUGCCAUUUAUCCACUGAGUAGAUGGGUAUUUUUAGAUGGAACUGUAGCAGCUAGGUUCUUCCAGCAAGGAAUUUACUUGUCCUUAUGGUGGUUUUAUGUGUAUUCCACAAGCACCUGUAAAAUAGUCUCUUUAUAUAGUAGAUGUUGUACUCAAAAGCUCUGUGCCUACAAAGGCAGGAUCCUCACCUGCAGUAAGUCAGGUAAUGCUGGCUGAGAAUCUGGCCGAGUGCAUUGCAAGUAUUUAUUUUGUAAGUGAAACCCAUGAUUUUCCCAGAUCAGAAUGGUUGUAUGCUGCAUUUAAAGUAGUGUUCUCCAUAGAGCUCCUGCCUACCUGUGGGGACUACUGAAAUACUGGCAAAUAUAAUCUUGAAAUAUUUCCGUCAUCAAAGAUGGUCUGAACUGCUGUGGAAGACCACAGAGACUUUCUGCCCCUUAAAAUGUUACGGGAAGGAAGGUGUGUGAACCCAGUGCAUCCGCACAAUAGUGCUGGUAGAUGGCCUACAACCAGCAUGUCAUCUCUGCAGCUUCCCAGCUUGCGGUUUCCUUAAUAUAGAUAGAUAGAUAAAAAAUACUUCUGAGCUGCCUACUGAAAGCAGCAUUUUGCAGUGUAUGAGGGCAGUAGUAAGAUUUAGUUUGGGGAAGCAGGAUGUACAAGUUGAUGAAGUUGGGAUGUGUCUUGUUUGUUCCAUGAUUUUAUUUAUUUAUUUAUUUACUUAUUGAGGAAAAAAGGAGAAAAAACAUUUUUCUAAAGACUGAAUUUUUUAUCAAAAUGUGCAUUCCUUGAAUGAUUUUAAAGGAUAGCAAAAGACGCUUGAGUUCUUGGGAAUAAAUGGAAAUAUGUUGAAGAGCUCAAAGGUGCAGACAGGAAGAGUGGGAGUUCAUGUGGGAAGAGAAGUUCAAUCUGGUAUGUUCAAGUUUUGCAUGGAAGGACUAAAUAAAUGCAAUCUAGCAUGAAGUGAGAGGAAAGGACUUAAGGAGCUGCUGGUUUGGGGCUGUAAUGCUCUGCUGCUGGAUACUAGAUGAAUGAAUUUGAACUUUCAAAUGCUAUGUCUGCAUGUUAUAUCAGUGAAGGGUAUCAUGGAGUAGUUUUUCUCUCCUCUACCUGCACAGAGCCUGAUUAGUGGUGAAGGCCUGCAGCGACCAAGAAAGGUAUUAAUGUAAGGCCUCCAGCUGUAAAUCAAUAUCUGAAAUAAAUGAUUUUAAGCGUUCAUUAUGGAAACUUCAUUCUGAGAAUAAUUAUAAGUCUAAAAGUGAAAGUGAGAUUUAAGUCCUGUGUUGAUCUGCAGAGAUUUGGCAAGCAACGUACAUACUUAAUCAGUCACACUGUAGCUUCUAUGCUUGCAGCUUGUUUGUUCAGAGAAAUACAGCAUAUUCAUUCAUCAUGUUUAUUCAAGUUAGGGCAUCUGAGGAGUAAUGACAACCUUAUUUUGCAAAGUUCUCUGCAGUGCUUUAAAGAAAGUACCUGCCAGUGUGAAAAUCAGUAAAUGUGAUCAUGGCUUGCUUGACAAGAGCUCAGCAGCUCAAUUUUCUGCUGUGUAAAACACCAGAGCCUGACAGAGCAGGACAUACUCCUGUGAUCACCUUGUUCACAGCAAGUAGCAUUUCUAACUUUGAAUUCCUUCUUUGUGAGGAAGACUUUUUGAUAAAUUUCUAUUAUGUUUAUCUAAAGAGCAGCAUUCACUUACGAUGCUGCAAAUUUGGGCUGUAUCAGAGCAGCAUUAGAAAUCACUGUGCUAUUUACUAAACUAUUUUAGAUGUUAUUUUCUUUCUUAAGAAAAAAGCAAUGCCUUAUUAUCGUCUCAGCUUUUGCAGGGAAAUAGAUUUGCUUGAUGACUUUGAGCUACAUACGUCUAUUUUCCUUACCAAAAGGUCAGUGAUGUUAACUAUAGCAUGCAGCUACUGACUGAGCAUACAUACACUGAGUGUGGCAAUAGUUAUUGUUUUUCUCUGUUCAUGUAUAGUUUCCAUUUCUUCUGCACCACCUCCUUCCCAGAAUUGGGAAAAAAAACCAGUAGAAAUAAUGAGAACAGCCUUGCUCUUUUUCUCCCUUCCAAGUAGGUAGGAGAAAAUUGCUUGAUUAGAUUAUAGGGUCUGUAUAUGUGUGUAAAGAAUUUAUUGUGGGAAAUCUAUAUUAGUGCCAAAGCGAUUAAUGCUAAUUAAUGUUCCCAAGUUUAAUAACAAAAGAAUUAAUAGUGAACAGCCACUUACUAUAAAGUGUUUCCUUGACAUUUCUUACUAAAAAUAAAAAUUCAGAGCAUGCUGCAUAGAUUUGAGAGAAGAAGAAAAAGGAAGAUUAGGUAAAGAAAACAUCUCACUGUAAUUUAAACCAUUAUUUGUCUGACAGCUUUUUAUCUCCUGUCUGGAAGAAAUAAACAUAUUAAAUUUUUUAUUAAAAUAGUUAGACUUUGUAAGAGUAUUUUUCCCAGUUCAGUAAUAAAUAUUUAUUUCUGCCAGAAACAAAGAAGUUUGUCUGCGAGGCUUUUACUGAAUCUUAGCCAAAGGUACGAGUCUUUUAACGAAGAAAUACAGCUUCUACAGACUUGCUUUCUCUUCUUCAGUAUAAAUUUUGAUGUAUAAAUAACGUUCCUACGGAGACCUGGUCAUCUGCUGGUAUUGAUCACCUGCCUCCCUGUCCUCCAAGGUCUGAUUCAGUCAUAGCCUGAAACAAAUGUCAGCACCUUUACUGGAAAAUGUAGUAAACAGUGGAUUAGACAAACGAGAGGGCUGGAAAUGGGUCUGCUUCAAGUCUUACCGCAUACCUUGUGGAGUGAUGUCUGGAGAUGGUGGAGUUGUGUAUCCUCCGUUGAGACUGCCUUCAUGGCACAUUUGUUUCAAGGCAUGCAAUUGAGACGCUCGGAUACCGAUGUUCAGAGCCCUCUUCUCCUUGCUUACCUAAAUUUAGUUAAAGAGCCCUUGAGAUAAGUAGAAGUGCUGCAGCCACAGUCCUAGGGAGAAGUGUUCACCUGCUUGUUGAUUCACUGCCGGCUGUGUUCCCUGACUGCAAUCAGAGCACAUUUUCCCCUUCAGAAGUUUAGAAUCAAGGAGAAGGUAAACACAUGCCAAAUCUUGCAGUGAUGUUGGCCCGCUCCCAAAGUUGCAACAUAAUGAAGAAAACGUUCAGUUUAGAACUCUGUGCCCCUUUUUUACAACAUUCCUUAAGUUACUCAUGACAGAUGCAACUUUCCUGGCUCCAGAGGCUGAAACCAAGAUUCUGAGCUGUUAUCCUCAAGGAUAUUGCAUGAGCAAGCCCUCUCUACCAUGGCAUUACUGCUUCAUCCCAGGAAUAAUUCACCUGAUGCACCCUGAGACCAUGCUGCCUUUUUCACAGGGUAAUGUUAAUGGCUAAAAUGAUCAGAUGGGAUGUGACCUUCGGCUGCCCUGGGCAGAUUCUCCUAGGUGACUGUACUGUGGGACUGUACAGAGCCAUGCUGGAUCAGAAAUGGAAAACAGAACCAUAGCCAGCAACAGAUGGAUAGAAGAAUUUUGGCUGGAUGUUGCACAAAAAGGUCUACGUACUCUUAGGUUUGUGGUAGAAGAGUUCUCCAAGAUGCUAAUUUUAGGUACAGUUUGAUGUAGAACAUUUGUUCUUCAAUAUCGACGACCUUCUUCAAAAGCACACAUUAUUCCAGACCUUGGGUAUGACAUAAAGGGUUAAGCUGUCCUGUUGUACGGAGAAGCCAGAGCCGCCUCACUGCUCUGUGAAAUCCAAGGAAAGCAGUGGCUCCCGAAAUGCCCUCCCUUGCCUGAACAGUUUGAAGACUGGUUUCUGUCCUAACUUGGUCUGAAUCUGCCUUUGGUGCCAUUGUGGAGGGAGAAAACACUUCAACUGUGGCUUUCCCAACAGCCUUUUCCUGGGAUGGAUAUUUUCUUCUACAGAAGAAACUUCUACAGAGAAAUUCUGAUACGGUCAACUAACUAGAGCAUCUGGUGUAUGCAGCUGGUCUAAGGAUUCAGCAAGAGGUGAGACCAGGAGCUGUUUAAUCACCACAAACAUGAAGACUAACCCAAGCAUGCUCUCCCUUCUCUGGAGGAAGUCAAGCAGCAGCACUGAGGCAUAAAUGUUCAAGUCCCUUCCAGACGUCUUGCCUGCUUCUGCCUUGAGUCACUAGAAAAACAAGGUGGUUUUGCUGGGUGGAGAUUUGUGUCAGAAUAACUUGCAGAACCGAGCCCUCAGUUUGCAAACGGCGGCGAACUUCAGUUCAUUAAAAGAAAUUUCAGAGGUGAGCUUCGUGAUGCUUUAAACAAUCACUGGAGGAAAAUAUUGGAGCUUUCCACCAAGGCCGUGAGCCAAGCCAGGUUCCAUCUGUGCACUCUCCUCUACUUGAGUGGUCACGUCCAUGUGCCAUUACUAAGGAUGUAUGGUGGAAUCAUGCCAAGCCUUCAACCUCACAUUUUGAACUUCUCAAUAAGAAAGACGGGGGGAUGGUUUUAAAAAGCAAAAGUCCAUGUUCUUAAGCAUCAUCCUCGCUCUUGGUAUUACUGGCAACGGCUGCCCAGGAAUCACUGUCCCUGGAGGUAUUCCAGAACCACAGAGAUGUGACACUGAGGGACACAGUGAGUGGACAUGGUGGGAGUGGACUGCGGUUGGACUUGAUCCUAGAGGUACCUCUGAGAGACAAAGGUCAGGAAAUGGGCUCCUUGCCAGGCCACGGCCACGAUCCAGGUUUUCUGAGACUGAGUACAUUCAUCUGAGCUGUUAGCUGCUACGCUCCACCGCAUCCCUGUAUGAUCUGCCUAGGCUUGGUCCCCCAGAGGAAAUUUCUGCAUGCAUACUGUAUAUGAACUUUAGAUAAAUAAAUAAACACGAGAAACAGCUUCCAGAUAAUUGAAAGCGAGUGAAGGAGGGAGCAAAAAGAAAACAAUUUCUCAGGGGAGAAGCAAGCUGAGGUGGCAGGUGCAGCCUAAAUUCAGCCAAGGUAUUUUGGUUGUUCACUACCUUCGCGUAAUUAAAUAUUGAAGCACGCUGAGCUGUGGUAUCAACAUCCGUAUGGUACAAAUACCUUUUCAGCCCAGCUGGACUCAGCUGCAUUAUCUGUGACCUGAAAAGCACACGCUCACCUUGGUUAAAUGGGGCUCGACUCAGCAAUAUUCAGCAGAGCUGCGGCGGUUCCUGGCUCUGGCCACCAAGGCUCCACAGGAUUUUCACUGCUCAGGUGUUGCAAAGCCUAAUCCUUAUUCAGGAACCAAAACGCUCCCCUCUCCUUGCCUGCGGUGCUUGGAUGCCUGCCUUUGGCAGUAGCCCCAGACUCCUGCAGAAGAUGAAGACAUCCCUCCAUGCCUAUAGAUGGAAAAGCGCCAACAUGGAUGCCAUCAGAAGGACGCAGCUGAGCAUAUGCUGAGAAAAUUGUGGCAUCCAUACUGUACAUGGGGAAGGGCUGACUGAACACACCAGUUUGUUGAAGCUUAUGGCCCUGAAAAGGAAACAUAGGUUUCCUGUAAAUGUCAUUCAGGGAUAUGCUAACUGUUAUUUCCUGGCACUGGAUCAUGAUGCUUUCAACACAUUCUGUUCCUCUACCUCUGCUGCUACCUCUGCUGCCUGCCUGCCUGGUUGUGCGCAGUGAUAGCUCUCCUGUCUUCUCACCUUUCCUCCUCCCCGCGCCAGGCAAAGGUAUUCUGGUUGGGAGGGCCAAUGUCAGCGAGCGAGAUGACAGACGGAGAGAUGAAAUCUCAGCCCUGCACUCAGCCUGGCUGCUGCCUGUACCUGGGCCUUGCUGCACCAUCCCUUGAACGCAAAGCAAUUCAAGGAAAAGAGUAACUUCUGUUACAUUAGAAAUCACGCAUUUCUGACCCAGAAAGAGAGGAAUUUCACAGUCUCUCAGGACAUGUGCUUGAAGGGAGGAUUUCUGGAGCCUAAACCAGAGGAGCCCAGGAGCUGCUGGUGUGAAGGCUCACCGCAAGCACCUGCUGCUUCUGGAGGAGUUCCUGUGGCAAUGCAUGUGCUCAGGAUGAAUAGGAAUCCAAGUUAACAGAAGGAAGAAACAACUCUUUUGUAGUAAUGCUCUGUAGGGCAUUAUCACAGCUAAUCUUAUGGUGGUAUGUUUUAGUCCAAAAAUGUUACUGCUCAGGUCCAUGCUACACCAUUUGUCAGUUGUUUACACCCUACAUAUGGAUUAGCACUGUAUGCUAGCUAUGAAAACCUGUUCUGCUCUUAACCCACCUGCAUGAAGCGCUGAAGCAGCUCACUGCAUCUGAUAUUUAGCUUUACUUCCUUAAGAUGUUGGACCACAAGAAGCAGGCACAGGUACAGGUAACUUGGUAGUGUAAUAAACUCUCCCCAUGUUUCAUCCACCAUUGGCUGUCAAGUUUAAAGAUGUUUGUAAUGAUUUGCCACUGGUGAAAUCCAAAGUAAGACUAGGAAUGUGUCUGUUUUGGCCAACUAGUAAUGACAGCUUGAAUGAUAUUGCACCAAAGUACUUUUGGACCACUAUUGGUUCACUGCCUGAAAAUAAAAUCUUUUUAUUUAUUUUGUCUCCUAUACCCACCAUUCAGAUUUCCUUCAGGAAACAUACCCUGGCCCCUGUCCACUAUCGGAUAGGUGAGAGUGAGGCGGUCUUUGCAGUGGUUAAGCACAAAUUUUGCAGAGAAGGGAUAAAGUGUUGUGGGCAAGGACCUGUGGGCUGAAAGUCAGAGUAACCAUGAUGCAGUGCCAUCACCCCACCUCACAGCUCAGAGUCUUGCAUAUCGCAUGGGCUGCCUGGAGCCUACACAGUUCACAGAGUGGAAAAAGGAAUUGAAGAAGCAAAAAUAAAUACUAAAGCAUGUAAGAAUUAAAUAUCACCUAUUUAAAUAGCAAUUACGCCGCUAAAAACAAGAUCACCACACCUGUACAAGAAAAGACAAGCAAGCCCAAAACAUCUGUUUGCAUCCACCUGCCAAGCACCUGUUCCGCUGUUUCAAUGCCAUUUGAUUGCUGGAGAUGUAGAGGCUCUUGUGAGGCUGGUCGUCACACAGGAAACUGUAUGCAGAGUCCAUCAGCCCAUGCUCUUCAUCACGAACUCAGUUGCUCUUUAAGACCAUCUCCCAGAGAUGAGGAAGAUGCGUUGAUCCAAACGAGACGCAGCCAAGCUUGGAGCAUCCUCUCUGCUCCAUCCCAAGAGGCUGCUGUGGUCUGGAUCUCAUCUCGUCUUCUAGUAACAUCUUCCAGAUUUGUUUUAAACUGAUUAGACGCUGCUGAAGAAUCAGCUCUCUCCCCCGGACAGUACAAAGCAGAGUGCUGGCAGAGCUGGCUCUUGGCCAUCAUCUACAUGGUGACGCAGCAUCACAUCACUUGACAGCCCCAAUUUCAUUUGGGGAGCUCUGAAAUGUUCACAUGCACUGAAAAAAAUUAUAAUAAUACACAAGGUGACAGGAGGGUGCAAUUAAAACAGAAGCGCCAGCUUGACCAGAGAGUGGCUUUAAUUGGAGGUCUUCUAUACGCUGGAGCACAGACUCUAAAAGGUAUUUCUGCCUUUCUAAUGUGGCUGCAUUUCUGCCUCUGAAUUUUGAUUUUGAAAAACAGAAAAUGAUGCCUUUUUUAUUGGGCCAGUGAGAGAAAUUACAGGGAAUGAGCUGAGUGAAUUUAAAAUUCUCUCAGUAGGGUAUAAAGGCAGGGAAAUACUUGUCCCUCCAUAGCUCAGUAACUUCCAGUGCAGGUUAGACAUAGGAACACUCGUUCCCAGUGCCCACCUAAGCAUGGGGGUUCAUGUAAGUGAGGAUCACAUGUGUUGUCACCACCUCGAUUCUCUGCUGGAUGGAUCUCACCCUCACUUUAAACAUAAGGAAGAAAUUCAGAAGGUCACCACAUCAAAUACUAAUUCUGAAAUUCAUUUCUCCCUAAAGAUUAAUAUAAAGCCCAAAAUGAAAUACACUGAAAAUAAGCAAAGUUAGCUGCAGUAUUUGAGUCUUCCCAUCACAGUGUCCUAAGAGGUAUCCUGUGGUUUGACACAUAAUUAAUAUGUUUAUCUAUCUUUGCUUUCUUUCAUUCUUUGUUUUCAAUAACAGCCAUCACCAUAAUAGUCAAGUAUAAACAUUCCAUCCUGUUUCAUAAAGAGCCUACGGUCCAUUUUAUUGCAACACAGUUACUUUCCCAGAUCCCACGAGUGACAAGGCGUGAUGCUUGAAAAAAUUCUCUGAAAUUUUCUCACCGUUUUUGCUUGAAGUAAGUUGCAUUCUGUUUACAAACUUGGGAAAAUGGGCCUCUUUUGCCUACUUUUGAGUGUCAUGGGAACACAUACCGAGAUCUGAUCCAGUAGCACUGCGUGAUGCUGGGAGCUUCUCAGGGUCCCGUAGUUUGCCCCCGAGGGUGUUUCAGGAUGCGGUGUAAAGUUGCAUGCUGUUUGCCAUGUCCAGGGUCCCAGACACAUGGGGAAUCAGACUGGCUCCAAUAUUGAAAGCUGAUCAUUUUUCAGACAAACAUAGAUAUGAUUUUUGUUAUUUAUUCACGCUGAAAUGUUAAUAUGUCCUCAUUACUCUAAAUUAUUUCAUUUUCAACUUACAGUAUGUUCAUGGAUUGCUUGAAGGAAUUACUGGCUUUAGCUUAUGUUAUCUGUGACUCACUUUUAAUAGACUUGACUGGCCAGGUAAUUUCCACAGUAUUGUUUUUGGCUCCUUAACUGGAUCCCAUCCAAGUUUACAAAGUGCUUCCACAGAGAUAAUGGAGAACAUUCCAGCCUCCUGUGAAAUGUCAGCUCUGUGUCCAGUGCUAGACGUGCAGCAUUAACCUGGUUAAAGCUGCUGGAUUCUGUAAUUUCUUUCUGGGAAGUACCAAACAUCCUAAAGACACCAAGUCAAAUCUGCCAAAAGCAGGAGAGAAAAAGAAAAUGGGAGACUCAGAGUGAGAGUGAAAAGUAAAUGCAAUGCUAUUACUUUACACCAAAGAACUGUAAGUUAAUUGAUGUCCAUAAUAAACUUUCAGUAGAAAAGUAUUAAAUAUUUUUGAAGACGUCUGUAAAUCCAGUAUUGGGAAAAAAAAAGUUACUGUUAUCUGGGUUUAAUCAGCUGAGAAAAGCAUGAUGAUAAAUAAGAUUUAGUGGAAGCAUAAAUUGAAAAUGGCGAAUAAUACUUUUAAAAGGGAGCCUACUGGAAUACGUAUGUCUCUAUGUCUCUGAGGUAUUUGAUUUGGAAUAUAUAAUCAUCUCCUUUGAGGAUAUUUAUGAAAGUUAUUUCUGAAUGUUCAGAGAUUUCUCUGCUUUUCAUUAUCUAUUUUUCUUAACAAGGGCCAGAACUGUAUGCCUGAUUUUCUGUGAUAUAUUCACUUGGGAGGUUUUCUCGUACUGGCCAAGGACACAUCGUUUACAAGAAGGUCCUGUCAAGCAUCCAAAUGUCUCUGCUGAAGCUUCCAUUUUAGAUGACCCCACAGAAUGUGAGAAAACCUUCUUUUAGGGGAAUGGCAUCUUCUGGCCAGAGCUGUGUCCUGAAAGGCUGCUGUGCUUAACGCACAGUUGAAAUGCCCAAUGCAAAUUAAUGGUAGAGGUAGGGAUGAUGUACCUGUGUUUUCUCAAGAAAGAAAACUCAAACCCUUGGGAUGAUAUUUUCUGCAUGCAUGAUUACCUUCAUUGCAAUUUGGAUUUCUGAGAAGGUCAGUUGGACUUUUGGGCCCUGUGUUCUGGAGAAAUCUGAAGAAUUUGGGUCAUCUUCCUCUCUUGACUUAAAAAUAACUUCUGUUAAUGCAAUUUGGAAAGCAUAUUUCUUUGAAUAUGAUCUUCCAUUUGCAGAGGGGGCAAAGUUUACAAUUUUGGGUGGAAACCAUGUGAAAGCUAGCGGUUCCAUCAGGGGUUUGUUUGGAAAUUUUUGGAUUUGUUCAAACUCAAAAGUCAAAGUGAAACUCGGGGGAUGUGAACCCGCUUGAAUCAAAACCAAAACAGUGAUGCGCCAGAUCUCCCAUGAACCAAAACCACCGGGUUCUCACAGUUCUCAUCCAAACAAAAAUGCACUAACAUAAAUCAAAUACCGAACCAAAUAUCCUCUUUUGCUCCAUCUGGCUUUCAUGGAAAUAACUCAGAAUAUUUAAAAGGUCUGCUCAGUUUUGCAGCAGCAACCACCAAAAUAUCCUGAGAUCAUUUGAUAUCAGGCAGUUAAUAUCCUGAUCUAUUCUCUUUAGUCAGUAUUCUAAUCCUUUUCUACCAACACUGCCUUGGAGUGCACAGCGUAACUAUCCCUUAACAUCUUCCUCGAUUGUACGGUUUCACAGGGAAGACUCUGUGAACAAUUCACAGUCCUUCUCCUUCUCAUUCUUGCUCAGAGAGCCAAGAAAGGAGUUGGAGCUGCAAGCAGAUGAAAAAACCAAGCAGUACGAUCAGUACGGAAGCAGAACACUUAGCUGCUAUAGGACAAGCUGGGGCACUGAGAAAAUAUUUAAUGAUAAUUUUCCUUGUGAUUUCCCUUGUUUGAGACCAUACUAUGACCCUGAAAUGAGAGAAUUAAAAAAAAAGAUGUUUUGCAGUAUAUCAUGUAGCAAAACGUCUCUAAAGCCAUUAAAAAAAGUGCUGGGCAUGGAAGAACAGAAAAGGUUUCCUCUGUAACUAAGACACGCUUGUUUGUAAUAACAUGUGCUUUCAAACACUGCCAAGUUGCUGAGGAUAUCUCUGUUAUAUACAAUCCUGAAAAAUGUGUUAAAAAAAACAAGGUAAUGUAAAAAAAAGAAAAAAAAUCUAAAAAAAAGAAGAGUUUGAUCAGAUGGUUAAAAUCCAGUCAAACCUAAGACAACCUGUUUAUGACCUUUCCAUGCUAAAAGCUAGAAAUGUCUUUCUUUUUUUUUUUUUUUUUUUUUUUCCACAAGAUUAAUUACCAUCACUUUGGGAGUAGUGAGCUGGACAUUAUUAUAUGAUGUCAAUUAAUGAUUAAAAAAAAGGUGGUUUGCAAAUGUAGCACCACAGUCCCUGGUGCAUUACAUCAUUUCUGAAAGAUCUUAACACGUGAUAAGCAGAGAACAUUUUAACCUAAAAGUCUGAGUGUUACAACCUCCUUUUCUGUUGUAACACCCUACCCACAACCUUUUGGCCUUGAAGUCACUCGCAAUAAAAUUAAGAAGUCAAAAAGAAAAGGGGGGAAAAAAACCUCUGGGAAAGACAAGACACACUUCUGUUUUGCUGUCGAGCAGAUAAUGCAACAAAAUGAGUGGCUAUACGCAUUGGGAAACGCGGUUGCUGAUCUUUGUGCAGUGUUCUCAGCAAGAUUCGUCAUCAAAAUCUCAUGCUUAGAGUCGUAAGGUUGCUGUGAUUCAGGUAUUAUAAACUACAUAAUGCAGUUAUCUCUGUGAGAGUGCCUCGAAAAUUUCAUGCGCUGACUGAAAUGACUCCUGCACUUGUCUAUGCGCUGCUUUCCCAGAUGGGCUGACAGUGAUCAUUUUAUGUGCCUUAUUGAAUUCGCUGAAAUAUUUAGAAGGGUUUCUACCUAUAUUUUACAUCUCCUUCUGUUAUUACCUUUUUUGCAGCAACAGUUUGACUUCUUCGUCAAUAAUACACAUAACCUGAUCCAUUCUUCUCUGAGCUCUUCUCCUCUUUUAGCGUCAAAAUGCUGUGGAUGUUCCUUUGUAAACGAUAUGCAUUUAAAAUACCUUUGUAAUAAUAAAUACCACACGAACAUAUGUAUCAAGGAAAGGAUUUCAAUUUUGAUGACACUUGCUUCUCAAGAACAGACAUUCUGGAAGGAAAAAACAUUGCCAGCCCCAAAUUGAUUGACAUUUGUUUACUUAACUCUCUCUUCUUGAAAGUCUGCACACCUAUUUCAACCUUGAACAGUUUCCAACUGUGGUAUACUGGAACAUUUUUUCAUUUAUUAAGUUCAGUGUUGCCAACCCAAACAAAGAGUAAUCAGUGAUGAUCCAAGCAGACCAAGCUGUCUAGCACCAUACAAUGUAUCUGCAUGCUAAUUUUCAAAUUCCCUCACAUUUCCAGAGAACUAAUGGGAUCAUUUUCAUUCUGUUACAGCAACUCAACAGUUACUGAAUCACCAUCUGUGUUUUCGUUAACCUGAAUCAGAUAUGAAUUCUGUUAUUGCAAGGUAGAGCAGCUUGUUUAAUGAUUCUUAAUCUUUUCUUUAAUUAAAUCAUGCAGCCAACCUGAAAAAUCUAUCUUAAUGCAAAUUAGGAGCUUUUUUGGCAUUCACUUACAGUAAUGCACUAAUAAGGUUAAUUUAUGAAGGUUCUCUUCCAGUCUGUACAGAUGAUAUUUGUUCGCUGCAUAUUUUUAGCAUAUUGUCCCCUUUUCUAAUAUUUAAAAAAAUAUCGCUAAUAAAAAAGGGGUUGUUUUCACUCAUACAAAAGAGGAAGGCUGCGAGCUGCUUUUUGUUUAUUUGAAAGAACACAGAAAAGGAAGAUGGGUUUCUCCCCUCCGUGAGCAUCUCUCCACGCGGGUGCAGAGGCACAAAUCGAGGACUGCUGGGUUAAAUGGUUUUGGAUGAGCACUCUCCACUUCUCGCUGGAGAAAUUCAGGCCCCGGUUCAGAUGAGCAUCUUGAAGUUAUCAGUGGAGACAGAGAGUUUCUCUGAACCCUUUGUUUUAUUUUUUUUUUCCUUGUAGGUGUGAAUUAAUUGUAUAAAGAGUAAAUAAUUCUUGUGAAAUAAGCCCGAAUACUUUCCUCAGUUGCACAAUUGCUUCAGCUCGAGGCUCUGAUGAUCUCAGUCAAGAAAAUUUCUGUCUUUGAACGCAUUCCUCCCAACUACAGAAUUAGUUGAAAUCUGUUCAAGUUGCUGAGUAAAGAGUAAACUUUGUUGUUUUCUUUUUAAGGUUAUUUUUCAACACCCACAAGCAAAUGGGGACAGCGACUGCAAAUUUCAACACGCGGCCGUUGCUAUUUAAUUAAAAUCACUGAGGCUGGCUGAAGACUUUUCAGCAGAGUGAUUUCACAUCAGAGAACACCGGUUCUCAAAAUCUGAACAUUCUUUUCAUAGAAAUCCAUCCCUCCAUUUCAACCAGGAAUGAGAUUUCAGUUCUAGGAAAGGACUUCUCAUCCCAGCUAGGAACGGCAAACCAUCACUCCCCUUUUGCGGCGGGGCUGCCCAACCGUGGCAGCCAGAGCAUCUCUUUCCACCCCUCUCUGUAUUUCCAGCUGUAAUCGUUCCAUGUCUGUCUGCAUUAACUAUUUGCACAGCUCAGGACAGGAGCUCUUGUCCGAGGAGUGGGGAAUCUCCAAGGCUGUGAUUCUCUCUGUUUCAUUAAAGUAUUUUCUCAGGUAUUAAAGUAGCACUGGGCUCAACUAAGAGGAGUGAUCAAACUGUCUACUAAUGAAGUUACUCUGACAGGAACUCCAGGAACCGGAAACUGAACUUCAGAAUCAUGAAGAGCACUGCUAGAUGAAGACAUGGGCUGGAUACAUGUCUACCACACUAGAAGAAACUGAAAGAAUACGAUCCCAUUUGACUCCAAAAGUCUUUCUAGGCUAAUUACCAGCUCACAGAGCAGAGAAAUUAAGGCAGAGAGGGAAUGUUCAUGAUGACAACCUUUACCCAUUAGCAAGCUUUGCAUUUUCCCAAGGCUGAAGACAGUUUAGCCCUGACAAAUCCAAUCAGUGAUAUGCAGGCGUAACCUCCAGAAAUAAGCUCACAUUUUUAGGAUCCACGGGGCAAAAGAUGGACUGCAGUAAGUCACUAUGAAAAUAUUUAAAAUACAGCUUGGCCAGUGCUGAAAUGGCACAGUUGGCCUGAAGUCGCUUCAAGGUCUCCUGGCAUCUGCGUGUUUCCCCAGUGGCUUUGUGCAGUAAAGUGUUAACUUCUCCUGAGUGGUUACGUGUUUAAGGCAGUAACUUUAAAAUAAAGAACUGCAACCUUAGAGCAAAGCUGCUAUUUUGAGAAUUUUAAACCAUUAUUGACUCCUGUCAGAUCAGUUUCUAGACUUAUUGACUCAAGAAGUAAAUAUAGACUGAGAGAAAGCGAGGUCAAGUCAAUAUUUAUCUUGCAGAUCAAUACAUUUUGAUACUAACCAAAAAUUAAGCUCAAUAAAUGCAUAUAUUAUACACAGCAAGGUUAGAAGAGAUCCAUUCAGAAAAUUUGUCAAUUUGAAAUUUCCCAACGGAAUCCAACCUUUUGGAUUCAAUUUCCAUUAGAAAUUCUGUCCCUUUAAGGUUGCUUCAGUGACUGAUCACGAGCCCCCAUCACCCAAUCAGGUUUCCAGAUGAACGUUGAGUAGCAGCGAAAGGAAAAGGGAAGAAUGAUGAAGUGAGAAGAAGUUGGUCACAGGAGCUCGAUUACGGUGUUAGGAGGAGACUCGGCAGGGAUUGAAAUAACUAAAAAGAGAAAAAGAAAAGUGUUGGUUUUAUUAGAGCGAGUUUCAAGGUCUGUCUGUUUGUGCACAGUCCAAAUCUCAGGCGGCUCAGCUUAGGGUUUGUACCAUCAGGAGAACGGAAGAGCUGGCAAGCUGAGACACUACCAGUACUUUGUGGAAACCGACAUAUGAAUUUGUUCUACAAAUGUGCCAGGGACACACUGAUCCAACAGUUAGAUCACUUCCAGAAGACACGGAGUUAGAUCUCUGAGUUCACUUCCAAUUGCUGACUACUACUAUCCAAUAAAAGAAAAAUUCUGCGUAAAGUAAACAAGGAAAAUGGAGGAGAUUCUGCUGGAAGGACAGAAGGGACAGCAAGCAUGGAGAUUUAAAUCAGAGGAAGACUGACUGUCACUGCAGAGGGGAAAGGGCAUGAGAAUGAGCACUGCAAGAAAAAAAAAUCAUCAAAAAAUUCCUCCUUCUCUGGGAUGAAUACAGGGGAGUAAAUGUGUUCCUACAAAAAUUGAAUUAUGUAGUGAUUUUAAAUAUGGUGUGAGAAUGAAGGACAUAUGAGCUGCAACGAGAGAACCAAAGAGGAAUUAUGUGAUGUGUUCAGGCUGGGAGUGUGCCUCACAUGACAACAGGAAGAGAGGAAAGGUGGAGGAAAAAAAAUGCAGAAUCGACUCUAUUCUGAGCCAUUAAUGUCAGCCAUGUUGAUGUUUUGUAGCUAGUUAUAUUUGCUGAUGGUUCCCACGCACUCAUGACAUUCAACUUUGCAUCAUCCCCUAAAAACUGGAAAGAUGUCUCUCUGAGAAUGACCUAUAGCUUUGAUAUCACCAUAACUAAUUUCCUUUUCCUAAAGUAAUGGUGCCUACUCUUGAGGAGCAGAAUGCUGUGAGCUUUUAUUUCCAGUCUGAGGACAGUUCUGUGAUAGGUGGAAUAAUGCCAGAACCUACUUUUCAUUAGAUUGUAUGAUCUGACUUUAUCUUGCAUGCUCUGUGUGGUUUGAGUGAAUAAAUCACACCAGAAUUUAUGGGGUUUUCAUCCUUACAAAUGAAUCUUCAUCAUUACUAUGUGGAUAUAAGUAUUCUUGGGCUGCAGAAGACAGUGAGACCCACCAGGGCAACACAAACUGAUGCCAACUUGCCACCUACUACUCCCUUAACCCAAAACUCCAAUGACCUGGGCCACUGAAACACUGGGAUCCCAUAGGGACCUGCCUGGCCAUUCCAUCUGGGGUUUGCAGGACAGGAUCCUGGUCUUUUGUGAAAACUGUUGACUAAAAAUUCAAUUUUCUCUUUCUCUUUUUUUCUUUUACUGUAAGAAUGGCAGAAGAGGAAUGGCCAGAAGCCACCUCCUUCUUGUUUGGACCAGCCUGCUUUUCUAAGGGCAACAAAAAGCAACAGAAGUGGUAGAGAAGAUGAAUGCAUCUUCCCUCCCUUCACAUAAAUUUGUGUUUUUUUUUUUCCUGUUGUUGUUGUUUUAUCCUUUUUUGUUUUAUUAUUUUUCCUAUUUAUUUUGCAAUUGGAAAAGUCCUGGGAUUUCAUUAACAACUUCCCAGGAUGACAGUGAGACCCUCACGACCCAGCAGCGAGUUCCAGUUCCCACCUGGGUGCCUCUGGAGAGUGACAAAUCUCUUGGAUGUGCUCUAACAUCCCAGAAGCACAGGCCAGGAACAUCUGUCUGUUCCUUCCCUUCCUUCAGACUGCCCCGAGGAGGAGGGAGGCAGGCAAGUAAUGAUACGAAAGGCAAAGGCUCAACUGGCCGUGUUACAUUAGCCAACUCAAAUAAUUCCUCUUGGCUGUGGAAACAGCCUUCCCAUCCAAAGCGGUCUUUUUUUUGUUUGUUUGUUUUUUUCCCUUUUUCCCCCCCAAAAAACAAGAACAGCUUAUUUCCAAUUUUGGGCAGGUUCCUUGGCCAUGGGCCAGCUCUCCCCACUGCCUCUCCGUGCUACUUCCCAAUGCCCCUCAAGUGACCUUACUGAAUGCCACGGGGACCAAACCUUACCGAACAGCAAAAUCAAAGUAUGCAAAUGAAGCUUGGAUUAUUACAUAUAUAAUGAUGAAAAUGUUUUUCCUAUGCUAUUGCCUGUGCCCAGCUUCCUUCCCUACCACUCUGAGUGCUUCAGAGCUGUGUAUAGCUGUUGAGCUGAAGCACCCAAGAAUGGCUCUGAAGCAGGAAGAGAGUUCAAUCUGCAGGCUGGUUUUCCAGGCACUUUCUUUCUCAUUCUCCACAAGAUAGUUGAUAUUCCUCCGGAUUUUGCUGUUAUUAUUUGGGUGUCUCUACUUCACAGAAAAGGGCAGAUGAAUGCCUUUUGCAGCCUCUUCAGUCCACUCUAGUUCUAUUUUAGGCUGAGAAGACUGUGCUGCUUGGGUAGAUGGGUGCAUUUCAUGCCAACAGCUUAGUCUUUCUGCAAAGUUAGGCAUCUCAGUUUGAAAAAAUAAGUACUAGGUAAAGCUGUUUGAAUCAGUGCAGGAAGCUGAGUUGCUAUCAGAUGUAUAUGGCAUAAAGUACGUAUCCUGAUGGGUACUCUUCUUCAAAGGAAAAGUGGUGAUGUUUACUUGUGCAUUUUAAUGAUGAGAGGAUGCGUACUGUGACACGAAAUCCUAUCCACUGUACCAGUUCAACAGCAUUUAAACACUGAAGUCUGAGCUACGCAUAACCAAUGGGAAGGAUGUGGAAGAACGCUUGCCUGAAGACACCUACUCUUUAUUUUUAUUACAAAGUCAAUUACCAUUUCAAAGCAGCCAUGUGACAUGUAUACUGUCAGGAGCCAGAUGUUGGCAUUGUGAUAUUGUGACAUUAAUUUAAAAGAAGAGUCUUUUUUUUUUUUUUUUUUUUUAAAUGCUGACUUCCCAAGGAUUAAGUUGGAUAUUCUCAAUGUAGUUGAAAAAAGAAUUUACAUUCCCCAAACACAAACAUUCUUGUUUUCUGUUUGGUUUUAUAACUCAGUCAUUUCUCUAUUGAAGAAGCACAAAACAGAAAGAACUUUUGGUUCCAGGUAGUUUCACUUCAGCUGAUCUUUCUAAAAGCAUGCACCUUUUUAGCUGUUUCAGUUAUGAAUCAUAGAAUGGCCUGGGUUGAAAAGGACCACAAUGCUCAGCCAGUUCCAACCCCCCUGCUAUGGGCAGUUGCCAACCACCAUAUCUUCUUUAUAAAGGGAAGUUUAUUAAGUAAAAUUUGGGUUACUGAGGUUUUAGCACAUGUUGCAUUGAAUCCCUUUUUUUCCCCCCUAAAUCACGUGGUUAAACUUAGUUUGGGUCUCUUACAACCAGAAUCCCUGCUGACUCCGCUCUGGUCCAGGCAGAUUGAACUGAGUCGCAACACUGCUGGUACGCGUCCUCAUCCCCAGUGCCAAGAAAAACCCUUUCCCUCUGUGUUUUCUUGUUAGCAAUACUGCUAUGGAGGCCAAGGACUGACAGUCUUUCUCUUAAUUCUCAAAUCCUCUCCUCCAACAGGGAAAAAGGAAAAAGAUUGAAAAACCUUUUGCUAUUGUUUGGUUGUUUGAUCAUAAAGGGGAACUAGACUGCCAAGCCAGCACCCCAGCAGCCCUAAAUCUAUGUGUAAAAUAUGGGCAAAAGGAGAGAAAAGAUUUAUUGUUAUUAUUAUCAUCACAGACUACCUUUAUAAUAUAUGUGUUUCACUUAAAUUAAUAUUUUAUAACUCUAUAUCAGCCUCUGCAGCCACCCAACAGCAUUUCUUAUUUAUCCAGUCGGACAUACUAAUUUGCUUUUAUCAAAAUACUUGAGAAAUAAUUGUCUUACCUCUCCUAGGACAUGCUACAGGGUUUAUUCUCUCCUUGCUAUCUACAUAGUUAUAAAUCCUCAUGCAUUGAGAGCAGAAUAGGCUUUAUGUGUCUAGCAAUUUCUUAUGAUUUCUAGGCUAUUAUCCCCAAAUCCUAAUUAACCAUUUUUAAAAAUAAUGUGGCCUUUCUACCACGUGAGAUAUACCAACAUGAUAAGAUACGAUGUGAAAGUCCCAAGUAUAAUGUAAUUCUGCUGCUUUACUUUUCCUCUUUUAUUAGAGAUUUCUAACAUAAUACUGCAUUUUCAUCCAAAGUGACAGGAUUCAGUACAUAGUUUGUAGUAUAUGUUUUGCAAACUGCCAGAACAGAGCCAUUGAAUUUAGUUUUCUAAUAAUCGUACAGCCAUACAACACGCCCGUACAUGUCAGAAACUGAAGAAAGCAAAUUUAUACACAACAACGUGUAUUUUGUGGAUAGCGAUAACCCACCCAAAUCUAAUUUAAUCAAAUAUUUAAAGAGGUAAUAAUUAAUUUUUAAAGAAUUGAAGUGAACCGUAACUAGGAGGAAAUGUUAUUGUUUAUUUUUAAUGCCAGAACUGUAUUCCUGAUGCAUUUUUAAUAUUUCAUUAAGGUGGUAACUUUCAUGGCGUAUUUUUUCAAGUUUCAUAUCUCCCUGAUUUAUUUCUUUUCUUCUGAAGAAAGGUAAAAUGCCAUAGGGAAACUUAAAGCUUAGAAUGAUGCAGUCUUUGAGGAGCUCUUCCUAAAACUUCCUGGAGUCUUUUUAAGCAGAAUUCUUCUUAAGCCUUUCUGGACAAGCAUUCUAAAACCAGAAGUCUUUUAAACAAGCUGAGGUACAGCAUCUGCUUGUGAGCUGAGCAAAGGGUUCUUCUUUCAGUCAAUGAAUGUGUUCAUCAGGUACUACUUUCUAUUCUGUCUCCAAGCUAUUACUCAUCACUCAUCAUUCUUACUUUCCAGAAGAGAUAUCUGCAAGAAUGGUUUUAAAGCCCAUUGCCUUUCAAACCUGUGUUCUGCCCUUCCUCAGUCCUUUGUUUUUUGUUUUAUCCCUUCUUUUUGAUGGAGCGUCUCUCACGUUUUUGAGCCUUUCAUACUCAAACUGUGGAAGCCUGUUUAUUUCACUCUGGCUCCAGCCCUAGUUAAAGGUGUGAACUACCAAAGUGGAAGGGGGCACAUGCACAUUAACACUGCUGUGGAAAACGUCGCCUGACAGAUGGAUGCAUGUUAAAUGGGUGUUUGAAGAAAGGUGUUUGCAAUAAAAAUCCUGAGUAUGGCAUCAGAGGAAGACCACACACAAUUUUCUACUUUUAUUUCUGUAAUAUAUAGGGGCCAGGCUAGUUCUGGUCUGCUUUAUACUGUCACUUACUCAUAUUUGCUAUUUUAUACUAAUAAUUUGUAUAUUAAUAUUUGUGUGUGUAUUUCAAAGUCUGGCUGUUUUCAAGGGUCUGCUCUGCAGCACAAGGGUCUGAGUCAACAUAGUAUAAAUCAUUGGUUUAUUCAAUAAACAAAAUAGUGAAAGGAUAAAUUGAAUUUCUCCAGUUUCAGUCACCAGUUCUUGAUCUCUGGGGGAUACUCACCUAAUAUGUUAGUUAUGGAGCUAUGAAUAUGAUGUGCAGAUACAUCCUUGCUUGGGUUUAUCUACCUUGACCUUAUCUACCCUAAGAACUGAAGUGUUUAAAUUCUGGUUGAGAAUUGAAGCAGGUGAUUAGAACUAGAUGAUCUUUGAGGGCCCUUUCAACCCAAGCCAUUCUAUGACUCUUUGAAAGAGGAACUGUAGAUAAGUUCACUCAAUUUCUGUUCCUAAGUCCUUAGCUGUUCUCUGGAUGGAUAACAGGAUUUUUUAGGCACAGCAUUGCAUUCUCUACCAUCUUUGCUCUUUUCCCAAAAUAUUUCUGACUCAGUCAUCUCCUGCCUACACAGCGAACUUUUGCGCCCCCUGACUUAGGCUGAAUUGGUUUCUCUUUAUGUACAAACAGGACUGCUUUUUCUUUCCUGAUUUCAUAAUUGCUAUUUCUAUUGGUUUGCUUCUUUUAGUUUUCAAUUCUACUUCAACUUGACUAUGAAGAUUAUCAAGAAAUAAAGCAUGAUUCACAUCUACACAUAGUUUACGACCUUUAGAUUCAAGCCCCUUUAUAUAAACUUGCAAAUACGAAAGGAUACGUCAUAAGACCUUGUAGGCACCCAAACUGUCAGUGAAUUCAGCCUGAAACUGUUUUUUUCAGCUUUAUUGAGACCUCUUUAUAAGCUGUGCUUGUGUUAUGACAAUAGAUUGUUUACAGAUUCUUAAAAUGUCCUGAGUUGAUGGAAAAAAAAGGGCAAUUUUUUUCCUUAUAAAUACCACUUGACUUUGAGGAGUGUUUGAAGCUACACAACCAGAAUAGGAACAUUCACACCCGCUGUACGAGUGGCUCAAAAACCCUGUCAUUUCUCUCAGGCCCAGCUCCAGCAAGCACUUACACACAUGCUUAACUUUAUGCACACGAGUAAUCCCAUUGAUUUAAUGGGAUUAUUCCCCUAUGCACAGUUACGCAAACAUAAGUGUUUGCAGGACUGGGGUCUAUUUCUCUUGCAAUGAUUUGAAACCUGUGGAAGAAAACGCUAUAUGCAAGUUAGAUAUUAUUUAAUGGCCACAUAUUAAGCCUGAAUAUUUCUGCUGAAAUUGGUGAGGCUGUGCGAGUUUCUUUCUGGCUGAGAAACUGUCCUCUUCUGUGCGCAGUGUACACUCUUAGCUUGCUAUGGUGCACUGUGGCUAUCACAGCAUAGAAAGGCAUAUGGGAACUGUUGAGUCACAGCCUGAACCACUGACUGAGCACCUGGGGAAAGGACCUGGUCAGCCCUGGGAGCACAGGUGAAGACAAUUCACCUGUAUGACUGGAAGGGGUGCAGCCUGGCUCCACCUCUCUUAGAUCUCAUUUAAGGGCUGACUGCCACUGGAGAAGGAUCUCCUUCUGGAGAUCCCUCCUUGAUGGAGCUUUCCUUUGUGAACCUGGAAUCAUCUGAUACAGGGUUCCCUUAUGUGAUCACAAUGGUGGAUGGCACCCACGCUAUCUUUCACAUCCCUUCACUGUAUGAUGCUGCCUUUCCCUUCUGGAAAGCUUCAGUCUUUGACUCUGCAAAUACUCCAAUGGUAAUACUUUGGUACUACUUGCUGGAUAUUGCCAGUUGUCCCAACUCCAAUCUUGAAAAGCUGCUUGGGCUUAUUCCCAUACUGAUGUUGGUUUAGUCUGAAGAUGAAGCAAUUCAUUUGCAAAGCUAUUUUUAAUUUUCUCCCUCCUGUCUUACAUUUCUUAUGAGAAAUAUUCAAUGAGCAGAUAUGUAGUGUGGAAAUAAACUAGUAUGGUAUUUUUGAAUAGAUACUGUAUUCUUCAGAUGUAGAAUUACAGAAAAUUAUUUCCUUUUCCUUGAUAGUUCCGUUUGCUGCAUUGCGAGAUGACAAAUUCAACCUUUUCCAUAACAUUGCUACUUUCAUAACACAGUAAUAACUCAAAGGCAUCGGGAAAGAUAAGGUAAAUGGAGAUGAUUCAUGGAAACGACUAUGAAAGCUUUUUAGAAAUAAUGGACUGACAAAUAUGAACAAUAUUUGAAUAAUAUAAAUGAACUAGACAAGUUUCUUCCCCACCAAAUGGAUAUAACACUGUGAAGAAAUGUGGAAGAAAUGUAAAACAACAAGUUAAGAGUAUAAGGACUGACCGAAAAUGAGUCACACUCCCACGCUUUUGGCUCACAAUUUGAAAUACUUGUUUUUACUUGAUUGGGUAGCCACUAAAAGUAUAUAGUAAGAUUUGUUUGAAUUUGAUCUGUCACUUUUUUUGAUGGGUGACAAUGAUUUUAUGACAUAUGCCACAUAGUGUCACAUCAUUCAAAACACAUUAAGUCACGCUCUAUCCCGUCAUUUCUGAAGGCAAUAAUGCUAUUCAAUGUGACGUGACAUGAGGAGAUGUAACACAACUCAACAGCUGAAAAAAUAAAAGGAAAGUUUUGUAGGUGUGACGUGGGUUCCUGAAAUUACAUUGUAAUGAAUCUUAGGAGGAAGAUCCCAGGAGCUAAGUUUGUAAAGUAGAUCCAUUGCUUGACUUGUGUCUUUAGGAUGAUGAGCUCUGGGUUACCGUGCACAGAGGGGCAGUGGGUGGAUGCUACAGUCAUGACAGCAGUCUCACUGGGCUCAGAGGCACAAACUAGCUCUUCAGGAACUACUUGCUGGAGGUUCUUAUGCCUGAAAAGAGACAAGACUGGAACUCUCUAUGGCUUGAAACACCUCUGAGUGUUUUAGAGCAUUUAAAAUUACUGCAGCCUUGAGGAUGUCCUAGGCAGAACCCAUUACAAGCUAGAUAUUUGCUGGUUCUAGUCCUCUAACAGCUCCUUAUGGUUGUUUACAUGGAUGGAUAGUAACAGGAAAAGAGGGAAUGGUCUUAAACUGAGACAGGGGAGGUUUAGGUUGGACAUUAGCAGGAAGUUUUUCACACAGAGGUUGGUGAUGCACUGGAACAGGUUGCUCAAGGAGGCUGUGGAUGCCCCAUUCCUGGAGGCAUUCAAGGCCAGGCUGGAUGUGGCUCUGGGCAGCCUGGUGUGGUGGCUGGCAACCCUGCACAUAGUAGGGGAUUUGAAACUAGAUGAUCAUUGUGGUCCUUUUCAGCCCUGGCCAUUCUAUGAUUCUAAUAAAAUUAAAAUUAAGGUAUUUCCAGUCUAUAUGAGCUCUGCUCUUGUUUCUUAAACACUAUGUACUGUCCUGCCUUGGGACCAUCAGGAGCAGAGUGUCUGUGUUUUAUAUAGUAUCGUGACGCUAGUUAUUAUUUCUGACUGCAAUGAAGCUAUGUCUACUUAUACACGCAAACAGCCUUUGGCUAGAUUAACAGGAAGUUCUCUCUUCCUACACCAAAAGUAGAACCUCACCACAAAAUGUGAAGUUGCCUGGUCAACUCUGCAAGAUCUCAAAUUCUACAGCUACUCAGGUUGCACCAUUGAUGUUUUCCAGGUUGGUAUAACUUAGCCAUGCACACAAAUAUGGUAUGCUUGCUAGUAUUACACAGCUCCAAAUCUACGCCUUCAUGAAUACAGUCUAGUUGCACAUUAUGUUUUUAUCACCUUUUUGUUGAUGGAGCCUAUGAAUACAGAUUCUCUAAGAUCUUUGGAUACUGUCAGAGUUGGAAGCUCAAGAUCACCCAACCUGAAAUGCUUCCUUAGCUGCCCACCUGGAAUCACUGACCUGAGUUGUCAUCUCCCAAUUCCUAAUAAAAUUCCUGGGAAGGUACUACAUGGCUGUUUUCUACUUUCUUGAAUCUGAUUUUGUUAUAUUCCUUUAAAACUGUCAUUGGAAUUUUUCCUCCUUCUGCAUCCUAACUACAUAAUAACACAGUCCUUAAACCCAGUGUAUAUGAUACAGCUUCAGUAAGAGAAUCAGAAUAGCUGAUCACUGGGGAAAUAGGGCUCUUAUCCAUGUGAGAAGGGGUUACGAAGGCCCUUGGACUUCAGCCUCCAACUCUUAGAUGUACAGCUAACCACUGAACAUUGUGAAUGGGGCACACAGUGCCAGUGAGACCUGACAUGAUGGCCAAAAAGCUGCUCACAGCUCUGAAUACAAACAGAAAUGUGGGCCCAACUUUCUGCAAUAAUUCACCACCCUAUUUUCACAAUUUCUUAUUAACUUCCCUCUUUUUGGAGCUGCUGCUGUUCUCUAGGCCCGAUUUUUCCCUGCUGAUUGUCUUAGAAGAAAUCGUUGAUGUCUGGAGUUUCCAUCAUGUUCUAGGGCAGCUGAGAACUGAUCUGAGUAACGUCCAUUCACCUCUUUCUUUUGUGACCUUUUCCAAAAAAAAAAUAAACAAUCCUCUGCAGUUCUGUAACUAUCUUUUAAGAUGUUAAUUACUUGCAGGCUGAGUAUCUUGAAGUUCUUCCACCUUUGCUACCAAAGAGUAACUUGUGUAAAUUCUCGCUUUGUUGUCACACCUGUUACAGGAAAUCACUGUUACAACUUAAGUGUGAAAAAAUGUGACUGAACUAUACGUAGUAAGAAAAGUACACACACCAAUCUCAAUGUAAGUGCAUCACUGCUGCUAUAAAACAGACAAAACUACUUUGGUGACAUUCGCUGUUACUGUACGUUGACAAGUUCCCAUUUAAUUUACUACAUAUGGUUCUACGUCUCCAUAGCUACUCUCGUGAAUUCAUUAUUCAUUAAAUAAGUGAUGAAUUUACUCAAAUAUUGCAGCCACAUGGCCGACACAAAUGCAUUCUAAUAUUAUUAACACGUUGCCAACUUGCAACUCUUCGAAGUCUGAGUAAAUGUUUUGACAAGAAGAGGCAGCAAGAACAAAUAAGUAGUAGCAGUCUAGAUGAAGUUCAGCCAUAGUUCUAACAGCUUUAAAGUCUUAACAGUGUUUUCACUGGGGCAGUACCAGAUAAAUUGCUCUUAUGUGUGCAUACAAGAGACUAAAAUUCCUUUGAAAGUUUAUAAUUUCUCAUGGGAAAACACAACAUAAAAGUUACUUUUACUCAUAGAAAAACAACACCAUAUUUUCCUGUCAACCUUUGCUGUUGGGAAUUUCAAACUUUUUGCAUUUUUUCCCUGUGAUUCUUUGUCGACCCAAGGGACAGGCGUUUACAACAUAAUUUACUUUCAGCAUGUCUCUGUAAAUCAUUGUAAUACUUUCUAUGGCUAGAAAGAAAAAAAAAACGCUCUCAAGUUGGACUGACAAAGUACUUUUCUGAGCCUCCAACAGCCAACUAAAAACACCUCUGUUUCAGAAAUGUGGAGAGAUACACAAAAGAAAAGUUUUAUGAGGGCUUUGCGUGAAUGUUUGUAUUCAGAGGUUGUAGCAUUUAUUAGGAAAUAUUUAUUGAACUGCAUUUACUUGCAGUAAAAUAUAUGGAAUGCUUAGUGUGUUGGUGGUACAAAUUAAAAUCACCAGCAUCCCAUGUUUGGAGGAAGGCCGUUAUUUUUUCCUUGCUGUUAUUGAGGCCUGUUGUUGUCACUGUUGUUGUACGGGCUUAGCAGAGCUGUCUCGGAUUAGGUGAUUUAAGCAUGGCCUCCCAUAAAAAAAGCUGGAAACCUGUAGAGCCUUUCAGCCUCACUUUUUGAGGCUGCUGCUAAUAUCAAGGCUCAUUCAGUUUUACAUUAGAACUUGAUGACUUGCACAUUGGUUGAACCUUCACCUUUUACAACCUUAAUGGGGAUUUAUUAGCUAUUUCACAGUGUGUAAAUUUGAAUCUAGGUCAGAUGAGGAAGAAAAAUAGGGCAAAUCUGGGCCUUAAGUAUAACCUGCAUAUAAUAUAUCAGGAUAAAAAAAAAAGGUGCAAAAUUAAACAGAUGAUUAAAAGUGUCUAGAGCAGUCAGAGUUUGAAAAAAGAGCUUGAUAAAUUAGGGGUGUUAGCGGGCUGCUUUUUUUUUUUUUUCUGAGUUCAAACUCAGGUGACUGGUGAAAGUCUGGUUUCCACACAAAUUCAGCAGAUUAAGGAGUUAAAAUAGCUUGUUAACCUGUUUCUGCUAACUGCUCGCAAGAGGAAAUGUAACACAGGUGUGUUUGAUAUUCGCAAGAUUAAAGCUUUUGUCUACCAUCAAAUGUUCACCACAUUAAAGCUUUUUUAAUGAGGUAUUGGAAGAUAAUGAAUGUAAGCCUCUAAUUCACUGCAGAAGAGACAGCUUGCCCCUGCUCUGACCUCACUGCAGCCAGGUAUCUACAACAUAUUAGUCACACACAGACCCAAAGCCAAAAUAGCCACUCUGCUAAAAGCAGAAGUGUUUCGGGUGCUAGAACUUUUCUGCUCAGCAUCCUGGAAAUUUAAAGUCAGGUAUUCCUAGAGUGAGGGUACCCAUCCCUUACUACAGGAGGGCUGCCUGGAUGAGGAAAAAAAGCAGCAGGCACAAGGAGGGGUUUUUACAGUGCCUGUGGAUGGGGGAGUGAGUAAGGGGAAAAAAACGGGUGUGAAUUAAUGCUUACUGCUCAAUUAUCAUUCAUCUUAACACUUAGAGAUGCUUAGAUAGUCAAUAGCUGGAGCAAGGAAGCGCUGGGGAGGGCUUUCUGGUUCGUCUGGUUCUGUAUCUAAUAUCUGAUGGAGUCACCCUCCCGCAAGGCAAAGGUAUGCUGCUGCUUAGUUGUUCUUAAUAGAAUAAGCUCCAAAUAAAAAUAAAAUAAAGAUCCCAAAAGGUUCUCCAAACCAGAUUUAUUUUGGCAUGCGUAUGCAGGAAACUAUGUACUGUAGCAAGUUUUAAAUACUGUAUUUGGACACUAAUUCUCAACUGCCGUCAUCAGUUUGCUGACAGCCAUCUGCUUGGACCCUGCUCCUUCCUCCCAUUCAGCACAGCUAAAGUAAAAUAUUGACAGAAACAACUUCUGCAGCAAAAGUGGAAAAGUUAAUAACAUAACUGAAGUCACAUAGGAUUUUUCUCUAAUGUUCUGGAGCCCUCCUCCAAUUUUGUUUUGCUCUUGCCUUUAUUUAGAAGAGUCCCACCCAUCCUAAAAAUAGGAGGCUGUAUAGCCGGAUAUCUUUAGAUGAACAGGUUACCAAGGAGAAAUCUAUAGCCUUAAGUGCCUACCAAAUAGUUUGUGUGACUUAAUCCUAAUGAGCAGUGCACAUGCUCUUGGGGAGCUGGCACACCGUACAGUACAUUGUCAAUCAGAGCAGCAAAAAUGUUGUCAUGGUGCGACUGCUGCCGAAUGAUGCAGAGGAACAUGCUGCAGAUUGCUAAAAUAGUGAUGGAAGGAGCCCAUGCAAUCCCCUAUGUCAUGCCUGGGGCUCAGGCCUGCCAGUGUGGUGCUCAGGGCUGCAUCGGCACUUCAGAUAGCUUUGUUCUGCUCAUGGCCUGUGGUAUUCCCCACCUGAAUGAGUUGGAGCUGCCGUAGCUCAGCACAAAGCAGGCUCUACCUUCAGCUCUUUGCAGGAAAUGCCAUUAAAGCUCUUGCACAGGUCAUAGGGCAAUGCACAAUAGAUGACUUCACCACUAAUUAGUUCAAAAAGAAAAGUGAAUGUGUGCCUACAUAUACACAAUCACACACAGAUAUACAUUCACAUAAAUAAUUCAUUUAUCGUAUCUAUUUAUAAUACAUGAAUCUUUUAUAUUUUAUGGCAAUACCAUCGCGGUUUUUAGAUUUACAUCUCUUAUUAAAUUCCCCACACAACAAAACACAACGCUAUAGAAAUAUAUAGCCCUGCAAACAGAUUCAAGACUUCUAAUCCAAGUGGUCUUACUGUCUGCAAUAUUCCUUUCUAAAUUGUGCCAUUACGUCCCACAAAUUGACUUGCAGUGAAAGAUAAUUUCUUUUUAUUCUCUUGCAGUGUUGCAGUAGAAAGAAUCUUUCCCAUAAAGAACAACGUGACAAUUUUCACACUGAACUUUCUGCCAUGUAUAUCUGUGGCGGCGGUUCUGCAGAUACACGCACACCCGACCUGAAAUCAGCCCUGAGAGUAGAUGGGUAUGUUUGAUGAAGGGGUCAUUUAAACCACAAAACCUUUCAGCACCCUGUGUCCCAGAUGCUGGACCACAUAGCUAUGAAGUGUGGUGAGGAUGGCUCACCAGCCUUAUCGCUCUGCCUUGUAGGUUCCCAUCCUCAGAAAGCCACAGGCAUAAAACACAUAAAAUCAUAGAAUCACCAAGGUUGGAAAAGACCCACAGGAUCACCCAGUCCAACCACUCACCCAUCAUAAAGAGAUCAAAGAUGUGGAUGAGGAGGAAGCACUUCUAUUGUGCGUUUCUUCUGAAGGUGCAUCCACUAGCUGAGUGAAAUUUGGAUAGUGGGAAAUGUUUAUUCUCUGAAAGAGUGGUUGGACACUGGCACAGCCUGUCCAGGGAGGUGGUAGAUUCCCCAACCCUGGAGGUGUUCAAGAACUGUGGAGAUGUGGCACUGAGGGACAUGGUCAGUGGGCAUGGUGGAGCCGGCUGGUCUUGGGCUUGGGAUCUUAGAGGUCUUUUCCAGCCUUAAUGAUUCUGUGAGUCUAUGACUGUAAUGUCAGAAAUGGUUUGAACUAAAUAGUGUAUUCUAACUUGCAAAGAAAUAUAUAAACAAGGCCUGUUGACCAAGAAGCCAUAGGAGUGAUGAAAUCCAUGUUGCAAAUUAUUUUGCUUCUACAUUUCCAAUGGAAUUAAUGACCAUUCACAAAGAUUUUAAUCUCUGACAUAGAUGAAUGCCAGGAAAUAUAAUUUUAUAAUAUUCUGAAGUGUUUAUAGCACAUAACAAGCUUUCAGAAUGUGGUUAUAAACUUGAUUCAAGUCCUACAGGUAAAUAACAUAAGAAAGGAAUAAGUUAUCUUACAUUUUGGAUACUAAAAAAGCAGAUCUCUCAACAAAGUCCAACCAGGGAAUGUUCUGUUGCCUGCUGUGACAUAGUCAGACAUCUCAAAAAUUAGGGUGUUUCUCAUUAAGAAGAGUCAAGAAGAGUGCCAUUAAGAGCAGUCACCACCUGUAUGGAGCACAGAGCUCAGCACACCUGGCAAGGGAACUCCUCGCCAUAAAACCAUGGCCAUGAGUCCAACCAAAAAACUGCAGAAGAAGAGGAAAAUUAGUAAAGAUCUCUUCUGUAUAUAUUUCCCAGUGAAGUGUAGUAUCUUCAAACUGUUUCUUGGUAUAGCAUCUUUGAUGCCAGCACUUAUGUCAGAUGAGUCUACAAAGAUGACGAUUGACGUCACUGGAGAAUCUACAAGUUCUCUGUGAGCAAAGAAAGACAAAAACAGACCAACAAACCAAAUUCUUCUCCCUGGACUAACAUAAGACCUAAACAUGCACGCAGCUCUGCACAGCCAUAUCUAAUUGUAAGGUCAUGCCUUUCCUUAAUGAGCUUGCUAAAAGUUUACACCAAGUUUCCUCAGUGAAACAGGUUGGGUCUCAGUGAUCUCCAGCCAGGGCUGUCAUUAAAGAGGAUGGGGUUCCAAUUUCUGAUUAAUGAAAAUUAUAAUUACGUACAGAUAACAAAGAGAGAGACGCGUUUCCAUGUUACUUUAAACAAAGAAGAGUUAAGGCCUUAUCUUAACUAUGCAUUGGCACUGCAAUGCGAAAUGGUCAUGCAAAAUUAAUUUUUAAUGUGUUCAAUUUAUAUUAAAAAUUUCUGCAAGUGUGUGAUUUUUUUUUUUCUAAGGCUGGAGUGCUACUUCAUUUACAAUAUUCCCUGAAGGUGUUUUUUUUUUAAAGAGACUCUUAAACUGAAGCCAUUUUAAGGGUUUUAUGAGACAUUAUGUGAGCUUUCAUAUGCAAGUUAGUCGUUAAGUACCAGAUAUUAUAUUCUGUAAUAUGCUUAAGUGAUAUUAGAGGCUGUAUAUAGCCUGCAGUAAUGGCUAUUGCUGCUUUUUUAAUUUAUCAAGAAAAUGUUGCUUAAAUAAGGAGCAAAUCAGUGCUUGGGUGUAGAAAAUAUAAAUGUACAGGAAGUAAUAGUAUCAUUGCAACACACUUUGCAUGUCCAGCUUCCCUGGGGAGCAAACACAAAGUCUGCUUUCGCCUACUCCUGUUGACGCACACAGAAGACCCAUACACGUGGUGAUGGAAAUAUGCAAAAAGAGAAACUUCACUGACUCUCACUGAGCAGUGUGUGACUGCUGCUCCUAAAGACUUCAUGACAAUUAGUAUUAUGCCCUCGGUAACUGGGUUUUUUUGUACAAUCCUUGGCAUUCAAACAAAGUAACAUCUCACAUUUGGAUGCAGACCAGUGAAGUCUUUGAAUGUUCAUCCUACAAAGGGAAAUAUUUUUGUUAAGCUGGAUUCACUGGUCAAGCUAAAACAGCUAGGAUAAAAAACCUCACAUGGUGAACAAACUUGCUAUUUUUCUUUGGGUCCCUCUUGCUGAGAAAUAAGAAAGAGAAAAAAAAAAAAAGAAAAGAAAGAAGAAACCUUUAAGCUGACAAGCCUGUAGAAAUAGAAAAGUCACUUGACUUUACUUACAGAUGUGCUUCCUGCUCCGAGCUCUGACACAGAAACAAACCCUUUUGCAGUUGUGCUGCAUGGAAGAGGGACACAGGCAUGUUCUGCCCUGCCCACCCCACACAGUUCUCCCUGCUCUGAGCACACAGUGCUGCCUGGAGCCCACGGCUCAUUCCCUUCCCUUUGACCAGGGACCACAAUUCCAUGCCCAGCUGCAAAUUCCCACUUUCCUGCAGGGUUAUGAUUGAAUAAAUGUAUUUAAAAUGAGAAAUCAUCUUUUCCAUUUUCUUUCUCUCACCCAGCUGCUGUUUCCCACUCUGAUUCCUGUUUUGGAGCCAUAAUUAAUCUGUGUGUGUGUUUUUUCCUUUUAUUUCUUUUUUCUUUUCUUUUUUUUUUUUUUUUUCCCAAAUCACACCAUCCUUCUCUUUUGCUCCCCCUGGUUCUCCACACAGCUGCAGAUCCUCACUCCUCCUUCCAUCACCGUCCUUAUCAUCCCCACCCUCCUCCCUCCCCUGGCUCACUUAAAUAUUUCAGAGAAAUGCAAUCCAGCUCCAUCCAGGCUUCAUGGCACUCCUCUCUUCUCAUCUGCACUCAUUCUCACUUGCUGUCCCUGGGAGGAACAAGGUCCUUGGCACGCUACAAGCUGCCUCUCCAAUGAACCUGGCCACAGAUGAGCGUAAAGCUGGGCACCAAAUAGGCAAUGCAGACCUUAGCAAUCACUACCUUGAAGAACUGUUUUGCAGGCAAUGCAUGGGCCCAGGCUCUCCAGAGUGAUGCAGCAAAAGCCCAGGACAAACAUCUCCCCAACCCCACCGGAUCUCUCCAUCCUGAUGACCUGACUUUAGGCUUUUCUAUUCAUCACAAAACCCUCAUUGAUGUCUCCCAUGUCCAAGAUCACAGAAUUCUAGAAUGGCUUGCAUUGGAAGGGACCAUAAACAUCAUCUAGUCCCAACAUUCAAAGAUGAGGAAAAUGCAGGAGUCCCCAAUGGAAGUGUGGUAGCAUUUGCUGUCUACACGCAUGCACAGGGAUUUAUUACAGUUGGAGAACAAGUCCACAAUGUGGGCUGCCCAUCAUUACAACUUUAAGAUGGCUUUUGCUCUUUGCCAGGGGGUUUUCUGCAAUUCAUUCCCACCUUGUUUGGAUGAAGAAGUCACAGUGCAUUUCAGUUCAGCUCUUUCCAUGGCAAAUUUGCAGAGAGCUGGACUGAAGGCCAAUAAGAAAUAAGAACAUCAAUGAAAACACACAAAAAAAGAACCAACCACCAAAAUAAAUAAAUAAACAAUAAAAAAUAAAAACCAAGCAACCACUAUAUUUAAGCAGCAAUAUAUUUAACAAGUGUAUCAACACCUGAGUCACCUGCUCUCUCUGCUAAGCCCAAGCCUCAGCCCCAGCAGUUUGCCUGCAGACCCUCUUCCCCAGCCACUCCUGGACUCUGAUAACAGGAGCCAACUUUUAUCCAGUUUCAAGCUCCUUCACGUGCUCCAAAUCAUUUCACACAUUUCCCAUGGGGUAAGUGAGGAAGACCGUACAGAGUUUUCCUGUUAGUGUCCAUUUGGUCAAAGGCCAGUGAGGCUCUUUGACAGUUACCAACUUCAGUCCUGAAAUCCAGAGCUUGAACUGGCUUAAUCCACAGGAGACAACACCGGCAUCUGCUUCUCUUCUCUCUCCCAGCCUU